GGAAGAUGGACAGCAUCGAUACAGUUAAGCUAAUGAUCUCGAGAGGAUAUCGUCCUGGAUAAGGGUGGAGCCUACGCCCAAAAACAAGAUUACCUGAAAGAGAAAAGAAAGGGGGAAAACACACAGAGAUACAGUCGGGGAGGCCACAUGAAGAUGGAGGCAGAGACAGGAGUGAUGAGCCUGCAAGCCAAGGAAUGCCAAGGGCUGCCAGCAGCCAUGAGAAGCUGAGAGACACAGAGAACGAGUCCUCUGCCAGAGCCUCCAGAAGGAACUAACCCUGUCAAUACCUUGAUUUCGGACUUCUGGACUCCAGAACUAUAACCCUCCUUCCUCCACCUCACAAAAACUCACAAGCUGCAACCCUUCUGAUGUCCACUCCCACACAAACCAGCUUCAGGCCUUUUUCAAGUGGAUGCUGUGGGGCACCACCUCCUUGAGGACCAAGGCACUCCAGCUGCCAGGAAUUUGGCUGCUAACCUCACACAGCUGAGCCUUCCAUGAAAAUUGCUCUCUGCCAAAGAGAACUUCCUAGUCCAAGGUCAUGUCUACUCUCCAGAGAUGUGACUGGAGUGAUUUGCACCCGGAUGCCUAGACUCGCCAUCUGCUCAAAGACUGCUCAGAAAGCCCUCCCAUGCAUUCCCCUGCUGCAUACCAGCCCACUCUGCCUGCAGCUGCUGUCUGCAGGACUUCAUAUCUAUGCCACACUGUGUAAAAGCUGUGCUUCAAGAAAUCACAAAAACAUUUUCCUGCACCUACUACACAGCCUGAGUGCGGCAUAAGUUGACCUUGCUUGCUAAGAAAUGGGGCAAGAAAUGCUUUUUUGUGUGUGUCAUGUCUGUUUGUUUUUCAAUUAAGAGAGGAAAGCAUUAGGCAGAUGGAAUGUACAUGUGAGGAUGAGGAGACAGAAAACAAGUAGCCCUUUCCAUCAAGAUAGAGGGUUUUCUGGGGUUGCUGGCUAUUGAAUGUCACUCCUGAUUUCUCUUUCCAAGGCACUGUACCACCAGCCUACUGAGAUUGUGUGGGAGCUUUCAUGGGGGUUGUAUUUCACUG
rnacentral:lncRNA from 1 species